AUUUAUUAUCAAUGCUAUUAUUCUCAUCAAAUCAUCUCAUUGUCAUAUUGAGUUUCACGUUGCAUACGAAUUAAUUGAUAUUUAUGAAUAUAAAGUUACAAUCUAAUUGAAUUCGAGUUGCUAUAAUACUGUAUCACUUCCCAACGUAUUCACAACACACGGUCUUCAGUCGCCUGAUCAGCUACAAGGGAGAUUCAUUUUCAGUGGAAGGUUUUAUUGAACUUGACAUACCAGAGAUCCUGCAGAGACAAAAUGGUAUCUACCGGACUACGAAAAUCACUUGUCGCUGUUUUCCUGAUUCUGGCCUGCACUCAGUUUGAAUUCCUAGUUGGACUCAGUCUACCAGAAUCCAGUGAUGCAAUUAACGGUUUGGAGUUUGAAGUGAUGAGUGAGGCAACCCAAUCCCCAGAUUAUCUUGUUCAGAGCCGAGAAAAAAGAAGCUUCGCACCUUUUCCGGCACUGACUUUUUUGAUUCUGGGAUUGAUUGCUAUCAUUGUACUCAAACCUAUGGUCAUAAUUUCACUAGUAAUCUUUAACAUUAUAUAUGUGAUUGGCAGAAUUGUUCGUAUACCAAUAGAUAUCAUCAGGAUAGCUAUUCAUCUCCUUUUAUAGGAAUAGUAAUAGUCUAAUUUCCAAAUGAAUGUUCUUCCAUUUUCCAGAUUUUUUUAAUCAUGUGAACAAUAAUCUGAA